UUUAUUUUUUGAUAAUUUGGAACGCGAUUCGAAGAUCUGAGCAUACGGGGUCGAAAGAGGAAAAUUCCCAGGUCUGUUAAUAACCCUGAGUCUAGAAAUGGAGGAGAGAAGAAUUGGGCAUCGCUGGUAUAGAGAUUGAGAGCAAGAAGAGCUCAACAUUAGGACCUAUUAGAGACCGUAAUUAUUUGCAUCCCAUGAACUCUUGAUUUAUUUACUCUCGGAUUGGAUUGCAAAAACCCUAACCAAGAGAGAGAUAGAGAUUUGGGUAUGGUUUGGCAGUUGGGAGGAGGCAAUACUGGAUGUGAGAUGAGCAACUAGGAAAUAGAUUCGUUUUAACCU
rnacentral:misc_RNA from 1 species